rnacentral:pre_miRNA from 10 species
UCUGACUCUGGCUGUUUGUGGGGUUUUCCUUUGUGCUUGAUCUAACCAUGUGGUAGAACAAUACAAAUGGAACAUGGUUCUGUCAAGCACCAUGGAAGGCUGCAUACUCCCUGCCGCAUGGCAU